AAGUAGAGUAUGAGCUCAAAUUUGAAAUCUGGGGUCGUCCGGCCCCCGAGUUGUAAUUUGGAGAGGCAUCUUCCGGGAGGAGCGCCGGCCCAUGUUCCUUGGAACAGGACGUCGCAGAGGGUGAGAAUCCCGUGCCAGGCCGGCUGCCUCCUCCAUUGUGAAGCGCCUUCGACGAGUCGAGUUGUUUGGGAAUGCAGCUCCAAGUGGGUGGUAAAUUUCAUCUAAAGCUAAAUACCGGCGGGAGACCGAUAGCGCACAAGUAGAGUGAUCGAAAGAUGAAAAGCACUUUGAAAAUAGAGUCAAAAAGUACGUGAAAUUGUUGAAAGGGAAGCGCUUGAGACCAGACUCGGGCCCGGGCAAACAUCGCGCCCCUCGGGGCCGUGCAAUUGCCUGGGGCCGGGCCAGCAUCAGUUGGCGCGGCGGGACAAAGGCGCGGGGAAUGUGGCUCCCCUCGGGGAGUGUUAUUAGCCCCGCGCUCAAUGCCGCCGACGUCGACUGAGGACAGCGCCUCGGCCUGGAUGCUGGCUUAAUGGCCUUCAGCGACCCGUCUUGAAACACGGA
rnacentral:rRNA from 1 species